rnacentral:rRNA from 1 species
GGAGGGUGCGAGCGUUGUUCGGAAUCACUGGGCGUAAAGCGCGUGUAGGCGGCUUCUUAAGUCCGAUGUGAAAGCCCGGGGCUCACCCCCGGAAGUGCAUUGGAUACUGGGAAGCUGGAGUACCGGAGAGGAGGGUGGAAUUCCUGGUGUAGCGGUGAAAUGCGUAGAUAUCAGGAGGAACACCUGUGGCGAAGGCGGCCCUCUGGACGGAUACUGACGCUGAGACGCGAAAGCGUGGGGGGCAAACAGGAUUAGAUACCCUGGUAGUCCACGCUGUAAACGAUGGGCACUAGGUGUUCGGGGUAUUGACCCCCCGAGUGCCGCAGCUAACGCAUUAAGUGCCCCGCCUGGGGACUACGGCCGCAAGGCUA